UACGGGGGGGGCAAGCGUUGUUCGGAAUUACUGGGCGUAAAGGGCUCGUAGGGGGCCAACUAAGUCAGACGUGAAAUCCCUCGGCUUAACCGGGGAACUGCGUCUGAUACUGGAUGGCUAGAGUUUGGGAGAGGGAUGCGGAAUUCCAGGUGUAGCGGUGAAAUGCGUAGAUAUCUGGAGGAACACCGGUGGCGAAGGCGGCAUCCUGGACCAAUACUGACACUGAGGAGCGAAAGCCAGGGGAGCAAACGGG
rnacentral:rRNA from 1 species